rnacentral:lncRNA from 1 species
UAUUUGAUUGAUAACUUAUUCUUGUGUGUUGAUUAAGGAUGCAUACUUAGUUUGCAUGCAUGAAUCUGAUGCUAAAUCAUAAAGGCCUUUCACCUAAUCGUUAGAAACUUACAAUUACAAAUAGUGGAGAUUGUUAGUCACAAUUGUGUUAAGUAGAUUCUUGGCAAGAGUAUCAUGCAGUUCAUAGUUAUAAUUGCCUUGUCAAUGCUUAUGAUUUCCAUGGAACUUAAUGAUCUUUGAAUGUAUCUCUAUCAUGUUGUUCAUAUAGGGAACUUGAUGAGAAUAAUUUGGUUGCGAUGCGUUGUCCAUUCAAUUCAAUGAAUUUAGGAAAUCUAAGAGUUAAUCUGUGCAUUCACGAUUAAUUUGGGGCAUUGUUAUUCAUGGUUUAAAGAAACAAUACUGGAAAUCGAUUUAUGUGGCAUAUGUUUAUGUGUGGAGAAGGAUCCUCUAACUAGCCUAUUUCACCAUUCAAUUCACCCAAUUUCAUACCUAGUUUGCUUUAGUUUACAAUCUAUUCAAUUUAAUUAAUUUCGUCCAAAUCAAUCCCCCUUUCAAUUAAGUGUCUU